UACGUAGGGGGCAAGCGUUGUCCGGAUUUACUGGGCGUAAAGGGCGCGUAGGCGGCCUGUUAAGUCGAACGUGAAAUCCCCGGGCUCAACCCGGGAACUGCGUCCGAUACUGGCAGGCUUGAAUCCGGGAGAGGGAUGCGGAAUUCCAGGUGUAGCGGUGAAAUGCGUAGAUAUCUGGAGGAACACCGGUGGCGAAGGCGGCAUCCUGGACCGGUAUUGACGCUAAUGCGCGAAAGCCAGGGGAGCAAACGGG
rnacentral:rRNA from 1 species